rnacentral:rRNA from 1 species
GAGUUUGAUCAUGGCUCAGAUUGAACGCUGGCGGCAUGCUUUACACAUGCAAGUCGAACGGUAACAGGUCUUCGGAUGCUGACGAGUGGCGAACGGGUGAGUAACACAUCGGAACGUGCCUAGUAGUGGGGGAUAACUACUCGAAAGAGUAGCUAAUACCGCAUGAGAUCCAAGGAUGAAAGCAGGGGACCUUCGGGCCUUGCGCUACUAGAGCGGCUGAUGGCAGAUUAGGUAGUUGGUGGGAUAAAAGCUUACCAAGCCGACGAUCUGUAGCUGGUCUGAGAGGACGACCAGCCACACUGGGACUGAGACACGGCCCAGACUCCUACGGGAGGCAGCAGUGGGGAAUUUUGGACAAUGGGCGAAAGCCUGAUCCAGCAAUGCCGCGUGCAGGAUGAAGGCCCUCGGGUUGUAAACUGCUUUUGUACGGAACGAAAAGACUCUCUCUAAUAAAGAGGGUUGAUGACGGUACCGUAAGAAUAAGCACCGGCUAACUACGUGCCAGCAGCCGCGGUAAUACGUAGGGUGCGAGCGUUAAUCGGAAUUACUGGGCGUAAAGCGUGCGCAGGCGGUUAUGUAAGACAGANGUGAAAUCCCCGGGCUCAACCUGGGAACGGCCUUUGUGACUGCAUGGCUAGAGUGCGGCAGANGGGGAUGGGAAUUCCGCGUGUAGCAGUGAAAUGCGUAGAUAUGCGGA